ACAGCAGCAGCCGCGGUAAUACGGAGGGUGCAAGCGUUAAUCGGAAUUACUGGGCGUAAAGCGUGCGUAGGCGGUUCGUUAAGUCUGUUGUGAAAGCCCCGGGCUCAACCUGGGAAUGGCAAUGGAUACUGGCGAGCUAGAGUGUGUCAGAGGAUGGUGGAAUUCCCGGUGUAGCGGUGAAAUGCGUAGAGAUCGGGAGGAACAUCAGUGGCGAAGGCGGCCAUCUGGGACAACACUGACGCUGAGGCACGAAAGCGUGGGGAGCAAACAGGAUUAGAUACCCCAGUAGUCCCUGUCUCUUAUAU
rnacentral:rRNA from 1 species